AUAAAACAAAAAAAAAAAAUAAAGCUUAAAACGAAACAAUAAAAUUGCAAAUCAAAUUAAAAACAAGCACAAAAUUGAGUAUACGACGCAUAUUCCAAGCUGCAGAAAAUUGCCAGCGACGACGACAACAGCAACAACUGGCUGCAACUGGACACAGGUGUAUCUACACCCAGAAACCUAAGCUAAACAAAAAAUUAAAACUAAACUCGCAAAACAAAUAAGCAAGUGUGCGUAAAAAGGUUUAGCUUCAAUGCAAGUGUUAGAAAGUUCGUUAACAAGUGUUGGAAAACUGUAAAACCAAAUUAAAACAAAUAUUCUAAAAGAAACACGCACAAAAACAACAACAACUAGCAAUAGUUUCAGCUGCAAGUCAUUAAAACAAGUGUUGGAAAAAGCUAAAAAAUACAUUGAAAAAUAUCCAAGAUCCUUAACACAAUAUCCGGCAGCUACCAACAACAGGAAAGAGCAAUUGUUGCUGAACAAUUCUAAAAAAAAGGUAUUGCAAUUCAAGUAUUCAC